GAUGAAGAACGCAGCGAAAUGCGAUACUUGGUGUGAAUUGCAGAAUCCCGUGAACCAUCGAGUCUUUGAACGCAAGUUGCGCCCGAAGCCAUCAGGUUGAGGGCACGUCUGCCUGGGCGUCACAUAUCGUUGCCCAAUGCCUAUUGCAGUGCAAUAGGAAUUUCUAGGGCGAAUGAUGGCUUCCCGUGAGCGUUGUUGCCUCGCGGUUGGUUGAAAAUCGAGUCCUUGGUAGGGUGUGCCAUGGUAGAUGGUGGUCGAGUUAGAACGAUACCGAUCAUGUGCAUGCUCCCCAAAAUAUGGCCUCUAUGACCCACACGCGUCUUUUGACGCUCAUGACGAGACCUCAGGUCAGGCGGGGCUACCCGCUGAAUUUAAGAAUAUCAAUAGCGGAGGA
rnacentral:misc_RNA from 1 species